ensembl:lncRNA
AUUUUGCUGGAGAUCCCUGUGUACCUGAGGCCUUCUAAAGAAAAAAAUAUUUAGCAAGACUUAUGAAGAUACAUGGCAUCGUUUUCAAAAACAUGGAGGGAAAAGAGAAAGGCGUGCUUUUUCCAAUAUGAAGAAUGGAAAGAGAAUUUUGAAACUGUUCUGUGUAAAACCUUGUCUUUGCAAGGAGGUACACAUCCCCUGACUGCAGGUGGAGGAAAACAUACUCAGAUCUUCAUAAAGCUACAUAGGUGAAACUGCACUGAAAAAAUAUCAAGUGGAAAAUUAACCUCAUAUAAACAACCAUGCUAGGAAUAAAAAUAAAAAUAUUAAAUGCUCUGCAUGUACAGAAAGGCAGCUUGGAUACUGGCCUGCACCAUUCAGUAUUCUCAGCAAAGACUAAUGUUGCAUUACAAUGAACGUCACUUUAAUGAGGCAGAAAAAAUUGGUCCGAAGACAGCCUGCUGAAUUCAAUCACCUGCUUCACUUGACAUGAGAAACUAGUCACAGGACAUGCCAUACACAGCCCCAGCAGUGACAGUGCUCCCUGUAACAAUAUGAAGUUGCAAAAGAUUUCAACCUGUGAACUACUUCUACAGAUGAACAGAUCAUGUUUUAACAUGAACAAGCUCUAUUUGCCUUAUUGGGAAAAACAUGAAAUUGUGUUUAUCAACAUCAUCCUUGCCUUUUGGAAGGAGAAGAAGCCAGGCAAAUUUCUUGGGGAAAAUCUUGUGCGAGGCUUACCCUCCAGGACUACAUUAAAAAGCAAACAAAACCCAGUACGCUGCAAUUUGAGGACAGGACUCAAAGAAUUCAUAAAAGAAAUGAAAAUUGUCUUGAUUCAAUUUAUUUCUGAAUUCAGUGUAUCCUUUUAAGACCAGUAUUGGUCAUAGAUAUAUUCUGAUUAUAGCCAAGGUUUUACCCUAAUAAUUAUCAAUCAUAUAUAGCAGCUUAAAUCUGUACCUUUUUCCAGUAAAGCUGUAACCAUGUAUACAGCAAAAGAAGAAAUUGCAAUAGGAGCAACAGAAAUCUGUCACUGUAGCAGUGUAGGUGGCUCUUAAUUCUAACAAAAAUGCCAUGUGUUAUGACGUACACGUGUAAACUAUGCCACUGUACAGAUGAAUAAAGUCAAUAUAUUACUGAUUCAGUG